ensembl:lncRNA
AUGUGAAGAAGAAGACGCUGCUUCUUCUUCGUUGGUGUUUGGAUCAGAUAGAGCAGAAUCGACAGGUUCAGGUUCAAUAUUGAUCCAGUUUAACGUGGAGAUAAACAGGAUGAAUACAUGAUUGAUUGAUAAGUGAUUGAUAGAUGAUCGAUAGAUGAUUGAAAAUAAUUGAUAGGUGACUGAUAUAUGAUUGAUAGAUUACUGAUAGGUGAUUGAUAGAUGACUGAUAGAUGACUCAUGUGAUUGAUAGAUGAUUGAGAGGUGAUUGAUAGAUGUCCAAUAGAUGACUGGUAGGUGAUUGACGUGUGAUUGAUAUGUGAUUGACAGAUGACAGAUAGAUGAUUGAUAUGUGAUAGAUGAUUGAUAGAUGACUGAUAGAUUAUUGACAAGUGAUUGAUAUGUGAUUGAUAGACAGUUAAUAGGUGAUUGAUGUGUGAUACAUGACAGAUGUGAUUGAUAUAUGGCCAAUAGGUGAUUGACAGAUGACUAAUAGUUGACUGAUAGGUGAUUGAUAGAUGAUUGACAGAUGACUGAUAGAUGAUUGGUAGAUGAUUGAUAGGUGACUGAUAGGUGAUUGAUAUGCGACGGAUAUAUGACUGAUAGAUAAUUGAUAAGUGAGUGAUAGGUCAUUGAUAGGUGACUGAUAGGUGAUUGGAUGAUCCAGAGAUCAUGCGACUCACGUUCAUUUUCAGGCCAGCUGAUCAAACGACGGUGGCUGGACUGAUGACAGCUGCAGCUUUCUGAGG